rnacentral:lncRNA from 1 species
UAAAUAUUUCCAAAACGUUAAGCUACUCAUCAAGCUCUUGAAAUCAAAACUAUUUAAUUACAAUAUUUAGCCAUUUUGAUACAUUUGGCUAUAAUUCAACAAAUUAUUAAUUGAUUUUCAGCAGUUUGUUAAUUUCAGCAAAUCUUUUUCGUGUUUCCUCCAUAUGAAAUUCAACUACUUCAGCUUCUUCUGCAAAUAUUCAGCACUGUUUAAUCAAUUCCUAUUUCUCCUUAGAUACAUUCAACUAUGCUUUACAUGAUUGAGCUAUUUCAUCUGUUUUAAAUGUUUCAGUUACUUUCAGCAACUCUUCAGGAAUAUUUUCAGCUUGGAAGCAUUCACUGUGCAUUUUCUUAUGGAAAUGCUUUUUCUAGUUAUUCUUAUUAUUUUCGCCCUGUUUUUCGGCCGCUAUCUACUUCUCAACGCUUCAUCGUAGAAUCAUCGUUCAACGUUCUAAACGUGCGUCAUCGUUAGACGAUGCAGGCUAUUACUUUUCACGUUUUCAGCUUUUCAACUUUUAACGUUAUUCAACGUUUUUCGUCGUUUUUUUAUAAUGGUCGUCUAUGGGAAUCAUCGUUCAACUUUUAGUCAACUUGCCUCUCUUCUUCAGCUUCUCUCAUCGUCAUACUUUAGCGUAGAAAUGUCAUUUCAACGGCAAAAGCAUCUAUCAUCUUUCAACGUUCUCUGUGUAAAUCAGCGUCCUCAUAUCUUUUAUAGUUUUUGACUUGUGAGCGUUUAAAUAUCGUGUGUUUUUUGUAAAAUUUUCAGCUUUUCCAUUAGUGUGUAUUGCGUCUGCUAGAGUGCGUGAUGUCACAGCUACAGUGAGAAGGUGCGCUUUUUUAAGACAGAACUUCUGUCUCUAACUCGUCACUACAGCCACAAUUUUUACUCUAUCAACGUAAUUAUUUCACUAAAUCGUAGUCAUACUUGUCGUCUUUCUAAUGAUGUGUCUGGCUUUACCCUCAGACGUAUACUUUAGUCGCUAUCAACCUCAAAGCUUUAGCAGUUACUAGCUUUAACUGCACUGUUUUUGCCUUUGAAUGGGUAAUUAUGAUUUAUGAUUAUUUAAAGACUAAUUGACAGUUACGCUAUUACCCCCACACAUUUCCUCUAAAUCCUUUCAAAAUAAAAGCACCAAUUACAAUUUAUUACCUUUAAUG